AGUAAAUUAACAAACACUAUACUAAAACUGGAAUAACAUGGAGAAGAUUAGCAUGGUUCCAAUGUAACGAUGAAAUGUAAAUUUGUGAAGUGUUCUAUUUUGUU